rnacentral:rRNA from 1 species
GCGCGGCUGGCCGGUCCGCCUCACGGCGUGAACUGGUCUUGGCCGUGCUUUCCUCUUGGGCUGCCCGAGAGCGCUUCAUUGUGCGCUCGGGAUGGCCCAGGACUUUUACUUUGAAAAAAUUAGAGUGUUCAAAGCAGGCAUUUGCUCGGAUACAUUAGCAUGGAAUAAUAGAAUAGGACGUCGAUCCUAUUUUGUUGGUUUCUAGGACCGCCGUA